rnacentral:rRNA from 1 species
AUUGAACGCUGGCGGCAUGCCUUACACAUGCAAGUCGAACGGCAGCGGACCUUCGGUGCCGGCGAGUGGCGAACGGGUGAGUAAUAUAUCGGAACGUACCUUUCAGUGGGGGAGUAACGUAGCGAAAGUUACGCUAAUACCGCAUAUUCUGUGAGCAGGAAAGCAGGGGAUCGCAAGACCUUGCGCUGAUUGAGCGGCCGAUAUCAGAUUAGCUAGUUGGUGAGGUAAAGGCUCACCAAGGCGACGAUCUGUAGCGGGUCGUGAGAGGAUGAUCCGCCACACUGGAACUGAGACACGGUCCAGACUCCUACGGGAGGCAGCAGUGGGGGAA